rnacentral:piRNA from 1 species
UUAACCAUAAGUUCCGUAUCA